UCACAGUAACAGAAAUAGCUCUUGAAAGCUCUGUCAGAUCCCGGCACUUUUAACUGUUUUUUGACACGUGCUAAAAAAUGCAGCACCUGGUUACAAGGGCUUAUUUGACAAAUUAUCAUCUUUCGUAAUCUAAGUUAUAAAAUCUAAAUUUUAAGUGAUCUAAAAUGUUCAUGACUAACGAGUAUUUUCACUUGUACGAUUUUUCUGUGAAAUGAGUCUAAGAGUAUAUACAUGUAUAUCAGGAUACUGACUGCAUAGUAAAAUAUUUAUGUACCAUUAGUUGCGACUCAUUUUGGUCUUUUAAGUAAGUUUCCUUCCCCUGCAUUACUUGAUCGCUUUUGUAAAAAAUAAACAGCACAACAACAACAGCACUCGACGUCAGUAUUGUACCAAAAAAUGAAAAAAAAUAUUCAAAAAGAAGGCUCAUAAAAUUCAAAUAUUGGACAAGAACUAUAGAAGAUGCAGAGAAAUUAUAAACAGCAGAAAUAAUAGGCAAUUUAAAAUUUGCAGAAGUCAACAAAACCUAAAUGGUGAUCAGACAUCUUGGUUUUCAUGAUCAAUAGGUCAAUACUGAAGAGGAAACUGAAAGUUGAUAUCUAUCUACAUGGUGCGCUAAUUGGAUUAAUGUGAAAUGGAAUGUGUGCUUCCCUGCAAAAAAGAAAUAGGAAAUUUCAUCAUAAUCACAUGAUAAUGGCUAUAAACAAAAUGGAGUAUCAUAGAUGCAGAAAAACACAAUUGUAUAAAUGCAACAACAUAUUAUAUAUAUUCGUCGAAAGAAGGGAGAAAUGAAGAAAAAAAUAGUAUUUUGUUGUUGAAAGGAACACCAGCUUUAUCCACUCAUUUACAUCGCUCCCUCAUAUCAAAUAUACUGAAGAAGAUCUUGGAAGAAC